rfam:Microvirga lotononidis strain WSM3557 genomic scaffold Micloscaffold_17, whole genome shotgun sequence.
GACUGAGCGGGUCGCAAGGCCCGUGAUCGUGGCGGAGAAGUCAGCAGACGGCAUAGUAGGCCGCAAGGCCGAAGGCC